AUGUGGUGCGGGGGUCAGGUGUGGGGGUCUGUGUGGGGUCAGGUGUGGGGGUCUGUGUGUGUGGGGUCAGGCGUGUGGGUCUGUGUGUGUGGGGUCAGGCGUGUGGGUCCGUGUGUGGGGUCAGGUGUGUGGGUCUGUGUUGUGUGGGGUCAGGUGUGUGGGUCUGAGGUCAGGCGUGUGGGUCUGUGUGGGGUCAGGCGUGUGGGUCUGUGUGUGGGGUCAGGCGUGUGGGUCUGUGUGUGGGGGUCAGGCGUGUGGGUCUGUGUGAGGUCAGGUGUGCGGGUCUGUUUGUGGGGGUCAGGUGUGUGGGUCUGUGUGUGUGGGGUCAGGUGUGGGGGUCUGUGUGUGUGGGGUCAGGUGUGGGGGUCUGUGUGUGGGGUCAGGCGUGUGGGUCCGUGUGUGUGGGGGGUCAGGUGUGUGCGUCUGUGUGGGGUCAGGCGUGUGGGUCUGUGUGUGGGGUCAGGUGUGUGGGUCUGUGUUGUGUGGGGUCAGGUGUGUGGGUCUGAGGUCAGGCGUGUGGGUCUGUGUGGGGUCAGGCGUGUGGGUCUGUGUGUGGGGUCAGGUGUGUGGGUCUGUGUGUGGGGGUCAGGUGUGUGGGUCUGUGUGUGGGGGUCAGGCGUGUGGGUCUGUGUGAGGUCAGGUGUGCGGGUCUGUUUGUGGGGGUCAGGUGUGUGGGUCUGUGUGUGUGGGGUCAGGUGUGGGGGUCUGUGUGUGGGGUCAGGCGUGUGGGUCUGUGUGUGUGGGGUCAGGUGUGGGGGUCUGUGUGUGGGGUCAGGCGUGGGGGUCUGUGUUGUGUGGGGUCAGGUGUGUGGGUCUGAGGUCAGGCGUGUGGGUCUGUGUGGGGUCAGGCGUGUGGGUCUGUGCAUGUGUGGGAUCAGGUGUGUGGGUCUGUGUGUGUGGGGGGGUCAGGUGUGUGGGUCUGAGGUCAGGUGUGUGGGUCUGUGUGGGGUCAGGUGUGUGGGUCUGUGUGGGGUCAGGCGUGCGGGUCUGUUUGUGGGGGUCAGGCGUGUGGGUCUGUGUUGUGUGGGGUCAGGGGUGUGGGUCUGA
rnacentral:lncRNA from 1 species